GACGAACGCUGGCGGCGUGCUUAACACAUGCAAGUCGAACGGAAAGGCCUCUUUCGGGGGGUACUCGAGUGGCGAACGGGUGAGUAACACGUGAGUAACCUGCCCUUGACUUUGGGAUAACUUCAGGAAACUGGGGCUAAUACCGGCUAGGAGCUCCUGCUGCAUGGUGGGGGUUGGAAAGUUUCGGCGGUUGGGGAUGGACUCGCGGCUUAUCAGCUUGUUGGUGGGGUAGUGGCUUACCAAGGCUUUGACGGGUAGCCGGCCUGAGAGGGUGACCGGCCACAUUGGGACUGAGAGACGGCCCAGACUCCUACGGGAGGCAGAAGUGGGGAAUAUUGCACAAUGGGUGGAAGCCUGAUGCAGCAACGCCGUGUGCGGGAUGACGGCCUUCGGGUUGUAAACCGCAUUCGCUCAUGACGAAGCUUUGUGUGACGGUAGUGGGUAAAGAAGCACCGGCUAACUACGUG
rnacentral:rRNA from 1 species